AUUAAGUAGCUCUGCGCCAUGAGCCUCAGAUACUGGAUUUUACUUCCAAAGCUGUAUUGCAUGUCUCCCCAAGUCUGGGGCAACUGGUCCUGUCAAUGAAGAGAGGCUAUUCGGAUGCUACACUCAGCAUAGAUUUCCUGGAACAGAAAUCAACCUUUUCCUGAAAUGCUUUCUUAUUAUCCCAGCUCUCCUCAGAUUGAUGGCAGUCCUGAGAAUUUGCAGUAAGAGAAGCUAUCACUGACUGCAAGUUGGAAAUCACUUCCUAAAC